UUUUCCGUAAACAUUCUUUUGACUUUACAGAGGAAUCCUACUGUUUGCCAACAGUACCAUCACCUAAACAUUCUAGAGAGGAAACAGCACCAUCACCAGGACAUUCUAGGGGAACACUAUCAUCCAGAAAUUCUGGCAAUGUUCUUAGUGGUAAUGUAUGCUAAACUGAAUAAAUGCAAUAGAAUACAAAUAUAGUAGCUACACAACAUGUUAAUACUUGUACUAAGACUUAAUUAGUCCCGCAUACCCCUCUUCUUUCCCAAAGCAAUAUGCAAGAUUUUGAAAAAAAAAUUCUAGAGGAAGAAAUUAAAGUAUUUCAAUGUUUAUUUAAAAAUUAUGAAGGGACUUUAAAAAAAAUAAUCAUUACUUUAGAACAGUUAAUCUACAAGUCUAUACCUCUUUUCCUAAAUUCUUAAAUCGAGUUGAAUUGUAAAAUUAUUUUAUGUUUGAAAAGUAAGACCAAAAGAUGAAAUAAAUUUCCCUUUUAAAAAAGGUAAAGAGGUCAGUUUUGUGAUUAUUUGACAGACACUCAGCGACUUGUCCAAAUCGAGGGAGAAAAACUGGAAAUUAAGAAGCAGAGACUGCAGAUAGAUCAAGAAAGGCUUCAGAUCUUAAGAAACAUCUAUUCUUUAAUGCAGGAAAAAGCCAAUUCCACUUCUCUUGGUCGUCUUCUAUCUGAGUUCUAAUUAUAUACAUGUACCCCAACAAACAUACCUGGAUAUUCUAUUUUUAGAAAGUGCAAGUGGUUCUCAGUCUGUCGAAUACCAUUUAUUUUAUUGAUAAAAGUUGUGAUAAUGUUCUCGUUGCUUACCAGUUUUUUUAUCUUGAUAAUAAGCCAUGAUUUGAAAAUAAGACGGUUUUGAAAAUAAGCCUCCACUUUCUUACCAAAACUUAAAAUAAGGUUCUAGGGUAUUAUAAAGAGUCGUACUAAAAUAACCGCCCCCCUUUUGCAAUUUUCUAAGCCCCUGGGACGGUUAAUAGGGAUUAUAGGGUAAUUGGGAGGGGGAUGCAUAAGUGUUUAAUACACAUCUCUUGUUGGAAUAUACAAGUAUUAUAUAUUGGAGUCUCCUUGUCCACCUUUCCAUGUAAUCAUUUCAAGCUAUAGCUUUGUAAUGGAGAAUCUUUUGAAAUUCAUCUUUGGUAAAAAUAUUCUUUUAUGUUCACAUGAUAGUUUGAUGUGAUUUGACCAAGGCCAUUUCUGCACAUUCAAGGUCAUUGUCUGAAAAAUUAAAAUCUUGUUGUAGUAGAGAAUUAUUCAAAACUCAUGCAUGAUACCAGGAUUGUCUAUAAUCUGAGGGUGUGCUAGAAACUUUUCUUUUCAAGAUGCAGGCUUCUUAUAAAAUCCAAAAGUUGAAAGGUCAAGGUCCACCUUUAUUGGCAUUUAAUUUCUCCAUCUGCAUUUUUGUUAAUUUUUCACAUUCAUUUCUACUUUAAGCAGGGGACACAAAUUCUUUGAUUUAAUAUUUCUUUAACUUAUUUAUUAAGUUAUUGUUGUCUAUUUAUAGUUUUCUUGCAGAAAUUGAAAAUUUGAUCUAUUGUAAAUCUUAAAAAAGAAAACAAACUAAAAUAGCCAUGUUCAUAUUCUCUGUAUUUAAGAAUAACAAAUGAUUUCAUUAUUGUUACAGAACAUUGUAAUAUCUGAUUCUGAUAAAAACAAAUUUGAAAUUUAAAUUAUAAUGUAACAUCAAUUGUAAAUGACAGCUAAUCAUUGGUUUCAUUUGUGAAUUUGUAGAACAAAAACAUCUCUACAUGACGAAAACAUUUUUUAGCAAAUAUGCAUAACAAAAAUUGGUGGUGUUUAUAUUAAUUGAAAUUAAAAUUUAUGAACUUGAUAUAUUUAUAUUAUGUUUGAAAAUAUAACUCAGGCAAUGGGGGGAAAAACAAUUAUCUGGAAAAACAAUACAUGCUUGCAAAAACAUUUUUUUCUUGUUAUGAUCAUAAUUUUUACAUGAAUUUCACACAAUAUUUAAACCUUCAUUGGAAAUCUAACUUUAGAAAAUUUCAUAUGCCAUAAUGGUGAUGAUUAGGGAAAAAAAGCUCAUAGAGCAAAAAUUACCCUUUUCAUUCAUAUGCUAGAAAUCACCAUUCUUUAACAUCAUUAAUAUAGACAUUCUAUAUUAUUUUUUGAAAUAUACAUAUUUAGUCGAAUUUUUAAAAAAAAUCUUUCAAAAUAGUUUUUAGUUUAGAAUCAACUUCAGUGUAGUUUAAUUGACUUAUUUACAAAAAAUUAUUUUGAUUUUGGAAAUGGAAAGGAUAUACUUUGUAUGUUUACUCAAUAAACAUACUUCCCUGCUUAUAGAAUGUAUGAUGAAUAAUUUUCUGAU